rnacentral:tRNA from 1 species
GAGGGUAUAGCUCAGUGGUAGAGCGCAUGCCUAGCAUGCAUGAGGUCCUGGGUUCAAUCCCCAAUACCUCCA